rnacentral:rRNA from 1 species
UACGUAGGGUGCAAGCGUUGUCCGGAAUUAUUGGGCGUAAAGAGCUCGUAGGUGGUUUGUCGCGUUGUUCGUGAAAACUCACAGCUCAACUGUGGGCGUGCGGGCGAUACGGGCAGACUUGAGUACUGCAGGGGAGACUGGAAUUCCUGGUGUAGCGGUGGAAUGCGCAGAUAUCAGGAGGAACACCGAUGGCGAAGGCAGGUCUCUGGGCCGAUACUGACGCUGAGGAGCGAAAGCGUGGGGAGCGAACAGG